ACGCUCGACACCUACGGGAGGCAGCAGUGGGGAAUAUUGCACAAUGGGGGAAACCCUGAUGCAGCGACGCCGCGUGAGCGAAGAAGUAUUUCGGUAUGUAAAGCUCUAUCAGCAGGGAAGAUCAUGACGGUACCUGACUAAGAAGCUCCGGCUAAAUACGUGCCCGCAGCCGCGGUAAUCUGAGCGGGCUGGCAAGGC
rnacentral:rRNA from 1 species